rnacentral:rRNA from 1 species
CACAUGCAAGUCGAACGGAGAAUUUACGCUGAUGAAGCUUCGGCAGAUUCUUGUAAAUUCUUAGUGGCGGACGGGUGAGUAACGCGUGGGCAACCUGCCUCAUACUGGGGGAUAACAGCUGGAAACGACUGUUAAUACCGCAUAAGCGCACGGUAUCGCAUGAUACAGUGUGAAAAACUCCGGUGGUAUGAGAUGGGC